GAAUGAGAGUCAACUUGAUAAGUAAAUACACUAGUGGCCAAGUUUGAUGCAGGUCUGACUUAACCAACACUUUAGAAAGGUCACUAAUUCCCUUCAUGUUGAAGAACCUCUUGUCAUGACCACGAGCAUAAACUAUAAAACUAUCAAGCUGGAAACUAAGAUCUCGGAGGUCACUAAUUCCCUUCAUGUUGAAGAACCUCUUGUCAUGACCACGAGCAUAAACUAUAAAACUAUCAAGCUGGAAACUAAGAUCCCGGAGCUUGUUACUAUCAAACUCAUUCGGAUAAUAUU
rnacentral:lncRNA from 1 species